rnacentral:RNase_P_RNA from 1 species
GCGGAGGGCCGGAUGGCCGCGGGCCGGUAUCGGUCCGAGGAAAGUCCGGACUCCCUGAAGCGACGGUGCCGGGUAACGCCCGGGCAGGGCAACCUGACGGACAGCGCCACAGAAAACAGACCGCCGCGGGCUUUCCGCGGUCAGGGUGAAACGGUGGGGUAAGAGCCCACCGGGGGGCCGGCAACGGCGCCCGCAUGGCAAGCCCCACCGGGAGCAAUGCCAAAUAGGGAUCUCGCGCGGGGCUUUGUCCUCGCAGGGCCGCUUCAGCCCGAGAGAUCCGGGUUGGCAGCUCGAGCCGCCGGGCAACCGGCGGCCCAGAGGAAUGGUCAUCUCCGCCCUUCGCGGGUGCAGACAGAAUCCGGCUUACAGGCCCUCCGCGCGC